CCUACGGGGAGCAGCAGUGAGGAAUAUUGGUCAAUGGUCGCGAGCCUGAACCAGCCAAGUAGCGUGAAGGAUGACUGCCCUACGGGUUGUAAACUUCUUUUAUAAAGGACUACAGUGAGGCACGUGUGCCUUUUUGUAUGUACUUUAUGAAUAAGGAUAGGCUAACUCCGUGCCAGCAGCAGCGGUAAUACGGAGGAUCCGAGCGUUAUCCGGAUUUAUUGGGUUUAAAGGGAUCGUAGGUGGGUUGUUAAGUCAGUUGUGAAAGUUUGGGGCUCAACCGUAAAAUUGCUAUUGAUACUGGCAGUCUUGAGUGCAGUUGAGGUAGGCGGAAUUCGUGGUGUAGCGGUGAAAUGCUUAGAUAUCACGAAGAACUCCGAUUGCGAAGGCAGCUUACUAAACUGCCACUGACGUUGAUGCUCGAAAGUGUGGGUAUCAAACAGGAUUAGAUACCCUAGUAGUC
rnacentral:rRNA from 1 species